GCCCCACUUCUCCACUCUCCCUCCGUCUCUGCCUUGUUCUCCACUUCCACAGGUAGAGAGGAAAGGAACAGCAGAGGACUAGAGAGAGAAACUAUAAAUACACUCACAGUAGAGAGAGAGAGAGAGAGAGAGAGAGGAGAUGGUGGAUGAUUUCAUGGUUUGCGUGGACAGAAUCAUUGCUUCAGCGUGCUUUGAGUCAGUCCAUGGAGAAAGGGACAGAAACAUUGAAGCAACUGCGAAAAAUGAGAGUGUUAUUUCUGUAAAAUGUAACGGAGAAGGCUGUUCUUCUUUUAAGAAGGUGAAAGAGAUGGCGGAAUGUAGGAUUUGCCAGGAGGAAGAUGAGGUUCACUCAAUGGAGGCUCCUUGUGCUUGCAAUGGCACCCUCAAGUUUGCUCAUAGGAAGUGCAUUCAGAGAUGGUGCAACAAAAAGGGAAAUAUCACCUGUGAAAUCUGCAACCAGGUCUUCUCACCAAAUUAUUCUGUUCCACCAGCCUGCAGCAAUCCUGAUGUUAUGGCAAUUGAUAUCAGGCAAGCGUGGCGUGAGUCACAACUUCUAGCUCUAGCAGCUGCUGAGCGUCGGUUACUCCGAUCAGAGUAUGAGGAUUAUGCUGUUGCUAACACAAGCAGCAUUGCUUGUCUUCGAACUAUUGCUGUAACUUUGCUGGUAGUUUUGCUUCUAUUCCAAGCUCUACUGGUUACAAGAGAUGCUGGGUUGGUGCAGGAGUCAUCAACACUCUUCAAUUUUCAGGUUUCUCUUCUUCGAUUUGCCGGCUUUCUUUUGCCAUGUUAUGUGAUGGCCCGAUCAUGCUACGUUGUACAAGGCCGAAGGAGACAGAACAGAACUAACAACUUGGACUUCAGGGGCCGAAGUUAAAAUGAUGUGUGGGGCAUAAAUACAUAAAUGAGCUUAAAUCCAAAGUUUGAGAGUAAUUUGAGGGUUAAGUGUAACAUUGUUGAUACCAUCCUCUUCUGCUCAGAGGGGACAGACAAUUCUUCUCUUCUUUGCUUUUGCUUCUGGGGCAAGCUCUAUUGCUGCCUAUGGCAGUUUUCCAAGUUGUAUUUAAGUUGAAAGAUGUCAAAAUUAAUCUGAAAAAUUGUUCAAGUGUUAGUGUUUUACUUAAGCCACUGGAGAACUCAAAAAGAAAAUGUAAAUGUGAAAAGAGAACAAUGAGUUCUUCAGGUGUUUUCUUUUCUUUUUAUUUGCUCUGUAUGCAUUUUAGUGCAUAGAUGCAAUGAGUAUUAUCAAACUUUUUCCAAGUCUGGUGAAAACGUCAUUGGCCCCAAA